AACGAACGCUGGCGGCAUGCCUAACACAUGCAAGUCGAACGAGACCUUCGGGUCUAGUGGCGCACGGGUGCGUAACGCGUGGGAACCUGCCCUUAGGUUCGGAAUAACUCCCCGAAAGGGGUGCUAAUACCGGAUAAUGUCUUCGGACCAAAGAUUUAUCGCCUUUGGAUGGGCCCGCGUUGGAUUAGCUAGUUGGUAGGGUAAAAGCCUACCAAGGCGACGAUCCAUAGCUGGUCUGAGAGGAUGAUCAGCCACACUGGGACUGAGACACGGCCCAGACUCCUACGGGAGGCAGCAGUGGGGAAUAUUGGACAAUGAGCGAAAGCCUGAUCCAGCAAUGCCGCGUGAGUGAUGAAGGCCUUAGGGUUGUAAAGCUCUUUUACCCGGGAUGAUAAUGACAGUACCGGGAGGAUAAGCUCCGGCUAACUCCGUG
rnacentral:rRNA from 1 species